AUGCGACGAACUCUCACUGCUCUGCUUCAAGCCGCUGCCGCACGGAAACAGAGCAACGGAGGCGGGUCCGGCCCCGGCGAGCGACGCGCUCGACGCAGACGACGCCGGCGACGUCCCGAUGCUCCACGACCCCAGGAACCGUCCGUUCCCGUCGCCGCCAAGGAGCCGACCCAUCACGUUGCUCGGCUCCGGCUCCGCGAGGAUCUUGGAGUAGUCCAGGUAGUCCAUGACGUCGCCGUCCUGCGACUCCAGCAGCGCAGCCGGCUUCGAGGACGCCGCCGCCGCGGCCGUCGCGGCGUCCCUGGCGCGGCGCGCGGUGGCGGCCGCGGCGUCCUCGGGGAAGUUGAGCUUGGCGCGGCUCCCGCGGAAGCGGAGCGCGGCGGCGUCGUACGCGCGCGCCGCGUCCUCGGCGGUGGCGAACGUGCCAAGCCACACCCGCGCCGCCUUCUGCGGGUCACGGAUCUCAGCCGCCCAUUUACCCCACGGCCGCCGCCUCACGCCACGAUACUUCCGCGGCGUCGCCUCCGUUCCUCGGGACGACGUGGACGCGCCGAGCUGCUGGACGCCCGGGCGGCACGGCAUGAGCAGCGGUGGCGCGGGCGCCGGCGGGCCGCGGCCGCUGGCGAUGACGUGCGUGAGGGCGGACACGAUCGCCGCCGUCUCCGCCGCGAGCGCCUGCUCGGAGAGCGCCUCCGCCGCCGGCAACGUCGUUGGCGGCGUCAGCAUUGCUCUGUAGUUUCCUCUGGUUCGCACGCGUUCAGACACUCACAGCAGCUUUUGCAGGGGAAGCAUGUCGGGUGCAAUUUAUACUACCCCUUCCUUAAAACCUCCACGCGAUCGACCAAAGCAGCAAACGGCGGCGGAAGAAGAAGCAAACUUGGAUUAAGCCGGCAAUCGCUUAGUAUAAAAACCCAUUAA
rnacentral:rRNA from 1 species